rnacentral:rRNA from 1 species
UACGAAGGGGGCUAGCGUUGCUCGGAAUCACUGGGCGUAAAGGGCGCGUAGGCGGCCAAGUAAGUUGGGGGUGAAAGCCCGUGGCUCAACCACGGAAUUGCCUUCGAUACUGCUUGGCUUGAGACCGGAAGAGGUGAGUGGAACUGCGAGUGUAGAGGUGAAAUUCGUAGAUAUCGGGAGGAACACCAGUGGCGAAGGCGGCGAUCUGGGAAGAUACUGACGCUGAGGUGCGAAAGCGUGGGGAGCAAACAGG